GGACGGAUAAGGCUUUCACGCCUUAUCCGACAACAACUGCCUGAUGCGACGCUGACGCGUCUUAUCAGGCC
rfam:Escherichia coli str. K-12 substr. MG1655, complete genome.